UAAUCAGCUCCGAAUUAGAAGGAAUCUUCGUGAAAGCAGUGAAGAUUUGCCGGAGCGAAAAACUGGACCACAAGCUUACGUCCUCGAAGGAAAGUGCCACACAUCGGCUAGAAGACAAAACGCAAAAUGUGCUGCAGACCUCUGCAGACGUACCAACAAGAUCUUGCGAUUAGAAAUCCGCUCCCAUCGCAGGAAGUUUUAAUCGCCGCUACCGGGCAUACGAUGGGUAACCUCACGAGUCGAGGAAUUUCAGCAGCCCUCGGAAUGGCCCGAGAUGCUUCUCCUUCAAUGCAGGUUGCGCUGCUCGAUAUGAUGCGAGGAGGUCUUACGAGAAAGGUAAACCGGUAAACCAUCUUUUUCAUCCACAAAUAUAAAGAUGAAUAUAAAUUGAAUAAAAAAAUCCGGUGAAUUCACAA